AGCAACGCCGCGUGAGUGAAGAAGGUUUUCGGAUCGUAAAGCUCUGUUGUUGGAGAAGAACGUGUGUGACAGUGGAAGGUUCACACAGUGACGGUAACUUACCAAAAGUGGACGGUUAAUUACUUGCCACCACCCGCGGUAUUACUUAGGUCCCGACCGUUGUCCGGAUUUAUUGGGCGUAAAGCAACCGCAGGCGGUUUAAUAAUUCUGAGUUUAAAGGCAGUGGCUUACCCAUUGUUCGCUUUGGAAACUGUUAUACUUGAGUGCAGAAGGGGAGAGUGGAAUUCCAUGUGUAGCGGUGAAAUGCGUAGAUAUAUGGAAGAA
rnacentral:rRNA from 1 species